AACGUAGGAGACAAACGUUAUCCGGAUUUACUGGGCGUAAAGGGCGUGUAGGUGGUUUCGUAAGUCUGGCGUGAAAUUUUUCGGCUUAACCGGGAAAGGUCGUCGGAUACUGCGAGGCUAGAGGACGGUAGAGGCGUGUGGAAUUCCGGGUGUAGUGGUGAAAUGCGUAGAGAUCCGGAGGAACACCAGUGGCGAAGGCGACACGCUGGGCCGUACCUGACACUGAUGCGCGACAGCAUGGGGAGCAAACAGG
rnacentral:rRNA from 1 species